AUGUCACAGGAACUAAGGGAAGAGGGCACACUUGAGGGACGCGUGGAGACCAAGGCCUUGUGUUUCAUUUCAAGAGACCUAAGAGUCACAGCUUUGCUGCUCCGAUACUCUCUUGGCAGCAGUGUAAGGAUUGAGCAAUACUGCUUUACAUUUUUAAAACGAGAGGCCAUGUGAAAGCCAGCUUUGGUGCUGCUCAGUGCAAGUAUCUGGGCUGUGAUCUCAGACCUACGCGAGGGGCUGGGGAGGAGAUCCCUGUUUGGUCUCCAAAUGCACAAUGUGCAGAGACAGUGCCCGCUGUGUCAGAGACCACAGGGAGGGAAUCCCGUCAGUGGGGUUGCCCUCAUGACCAGAAAAACUUGCCCAAAGAUUUUCAUCAGGUGUGCCAAACCCCCAGACUUUGCAGAUCCCUGUGGAGUGGUGUUCCUGGAGAUGACGCAGGCUAACGCAACGUGCAGCCCAUCCCAACCUCCUGCGUGGCAGCAGGAUGCUGGCAUCUCACCGCUCCCUGAGGUCUUCUCUGUGCUGCUUGCUUUGUUCCUGCAGCACAAUUUGAGGGACACGCAUCUCAUUCCUAAAGCUCCUGACAGGGCUGGAACAGUUUUAACUAUCAGAAAACAGCUCCAUCCCGUCCAGCGCGGCCAGGAUCACGCGCUUACCGGGAACCGUCCUCAGAGCCCUUCCAAAAAAGGACAUUUCCAGCACCAAUGUGAGCGUGGGUGGAAGAGAAAGCAGUGAGUGAGGGUCGGGGGAUUCUUGUGCCCACAAAAGGCUUUGUCAGAUAAGGUGGGUCACACUUGCCACACUUUAUUCUGCUUGUGUAUUCAGCCUUCUUUGGCAUGAACCUGGAUGUGGUGGAUGCCAUCCUCAUGGGUCCUCUUCAUCGUCCGUGAGCACUGGCUGGGACCAGUGCUGGAACAUGAGUAUAGACAAAAGGAGGAAGCCCUUUGGUUUCCUUUGUGUUAAUCUCAAAUCCAGCUCAACCUCAUGAGAGUGUACAGUAUAAGCUGUAAUGUAUAGUUCUCAGGAGCAGGUAACGUCCCUAACAGUUCUCCAGAAGGCUUUGCCUGCUCCUUGGUCAGGCAAAGGGCUUCAGGUUGACAGGACUUCUUGCUUCUGGAGAAGUCCUGGGAAUUCCUAAAGCUGGUGUAAUAGCCCCUUCUCCUCCACCCUGGUAUUUUCUGCUGUAUGUGAGCUGUGCUGUCACAUAUCCUCAGUCUGCCACAGUUUGGAUCUGUUUCCUUACAUGCAGUGAAUUAAAGGCUCAGGUUUCAUGUAGGAGCACCUAGAGGUGUUGUGAACGCUUGCAAUUGUAAUGAAAUCCGUGGUACACCAUCCUGGUCAGCAGACCUAUGGAAGGCAAAGCUGAGAUACCAAUGAAUGUAUAUUAAAAAUAAGACAACGUCUGGAAAGCAGCUGUUAAAUUAAAGAAACACAGCGUAGCAGCCCAUGCUGAAGGAAGGUUUAUGAGUCUGAAUUAGGAUGAGACAGAUGAUAGAGCAAAGCCAUGUUUUUUAGGAGCAGAGCUGUGUGUGGCCGUCCCUGCACAGACCCCCCUCCCCUCUUUGGGAUGACUAUUAAUAGCACGGGGCCUGGCCAAGCCAAACUCAAAUGGUGUGUGGGUCUGUUUGGGUACUGCAGGGCUAUUUGGCAACUCCGGGUGAAUGCCCUUAAAUAAUCCUCCUGGCACUGGGUGUUGGAGAGCUCGAGGCUUUAGAAACUUUUGGGUCAAAUUUACUGUUGUUAAAUAAACAAUGAGUAUUGAUUAGAUCA
rnacentral:lncRNA from 1 species